GGAAUAUUCCACAAUGGGGGGAACCCUGAUGGAGCGACGCCGCGUGAGUGAAGAAGGGCUUCGGCUCGUAAAGCUCUUUUCUUGAGGACGAAUGGUCUAUUGGAUAGGCAGAGACGGUACUUGGGGAAUAAGCCACGGCUAACUACGUGCCAGCAGCCGCGGUAAUACGUAGGUGGCAAGCGUUGUCCGGAAUUAUUGGGCGUAAAGGGAGCGCAGGCGGGGCGGUAAGUCCAAAUUAAAAGUGCAGUAGUAAUGACUGUGAUGGUUUGGAAACUAUCGUUCUUGAGAGCAGGAGAGGCAAGCGGAAUUCCCAGUGUAGCGGUGAAAUGCGUAGAUAUUGGGAGGAACACCAGUGGCGAAGGCGGCUUGCUGGACUGAGUCUGACGCUGAGGCUCGAAAGCCAGGGUAGCGAACG
rnacentral:rRNA from 1 species